UAGUGAGGGUGAAGGAGCUGGGGCACAGGUGGUGUUCUCAUUAAUCCUUCUAAUCAAGGGCAGGGGCAGAGACAGAGACAGACAUCCUGGAAGUGAAUGCAUGGCUGCAUGGAGUUUGAGUGGGAGUUCCAUUGGAGGAGAAGGUACCUGUAUUUGCAUCUGUCUUUGUAUUGCUUGUAUGUGUAGAGGCCUGUAGGGGCAGCGUGCUGGGCGGGCAGCUGAGCCCUGAUUAGGGGGCGGAGCUUGGCUGAGGAGAGGGCCUAUAAAAGCAGCCACCCAGCCAGGCAGCGGCACAGCUGCGAGCAGCCAACAGGGCUGCUAACAGGGGAGUUUACAGGGGGAGGUGAAAGGAGAGGCAGGAGGGCGUGGCGCCCUGUGUGCUGUGUUUCCCCAGGUGCAGAGGGCACAGCUGAGUAGGCGGGGUUCAGACAACAGCAGCCAUGAGCCAAGCAGCAGGGGACACAAUGCAGAUGAUCUCAACAGGCAGCUGCGGUAUGUACAUGGUCCUAGCAGCAGUGCACGAACAGAGGCCAAGGGAAAGGAAGCAAGCAACGGUAAGCUGCGUGGAUCGAAGCACUUCGUCAACCGUUGAGGCUUUGAGGAGACAAUCAUCGAGAUCCUGUUCCAGGCCUUCCAGGAGUUCAUCAUAAACUUCAUUGAAGACUAGUCUUUUCAUCUUUGCAACCCAAAAAAUGGCAACCAUCUAUCUGUGAUCAUGUCAAAAACAACUGAAAAGCAAAUUCAUUAACUUGGUAAGAAAGGUAAAUAUCACUAUCAAUACAACACAAUUGAAUAAUUUAAAUAAUUGACUGAAGAACUUGGUCUUUGAUAUUCUCCUCCAGAGAGAGAGAGAGAGAGAGAGAAAGAAAGAAAGAAACCUCACAGGUCCACUGCUAAACGCUUCAAGUAAAGAAAGAAGAAAAUUUAGAAGAACUACAAGAUCAGACAUCAAUGCAAGAUGGCUGGUCAAACAUGAGGAAAGACCAGCAAGUGGUGGUCAAAACAUAGCAAACACGCAUGAAGAGACUAUUCAGAAAGGCAGCAAAUUUACAAAGGAAGGAGGUGGUUUCAGAGAAACUUGACAGAUUAGAGACUGAUGAUACUGUUACAGUGGAAAUCUGGCUAAUAUACUUAAAUAAACUAAACAAGAAGAUGAUGCAGUCUCACCUCUCUAGACUGUUUUGUCCAGGGUUUUAAGUCCCUGAAGAUCUGGCAAGGUCUCCAAUGUGACCCUCAAAAAGGCACUUUAGCCAUCUGGAAUUAGGCUAACUCACAGGCAUAGAUCUUUUGCAGCAGGCACAGAGCUUAAAGCCCAGAGACUGAGGAACACCCUGAUAACAGGUGUUGACCCCUUGUAACAAAAACUCCAACACCCAAAGUUGCUAUAGAAGAUGAAGAAAACCUAUACUUAACUUACACUAACAAGUACUACUAAUUAACUAUUUACAGAACAGAGAAACUCCCUGGAGUGGGAGAAAACUUGCAAUAGCAAGCCAACACACUCCAACUACCUAUUGCAGGUGGUAAGAAGGAACCGAAGUGGGUGAGGGAUGUACCUGCCCCUUAUGCUAUCAGGCAGCAGCACAGAAAUGCUAGGGGUGCAUGCAUUACCCAGACAGGUACUGCUAGGGAAAAACAUCUGGCUCUGGUGCUCUGGGCAUGCACAUUCCAAAAGAGAAAUGGACGUGUGCAAUCAUUCAAAGAACAUCUUAUUGCAUUUUUGUUGCCAGUCCACAAGAUUGUCCAACUAGCAAGAGAGGUAGCAGAAAGGAACGAAUCUCAAAACAUCAGUGGUAGCAAGCUAUGAACACAUGUAAUUUGGCAGAAAAAACAUUGUAUAAGCCUACAUCACAACAUCCAUGGAAGACGUUAAGAGCUUACUGCUUCUCUGCUACAGAAAUGCCAAUAGUUCAGAAAUGGGGGAAAUAGAAUUUGAAUAGAUUACAAAAAACAGAUUAUGUUAACCUUGAUUUAAAGUUAAUUGUAUUAAAGUCACUUAAAAAAAUCAUUGAUUUAAGUCAAUUUUUUACAAAAAUUCACCUAAUUUGAAAUUGUGCUAUUUUCUAUUACAAUUUAGAAUGAACUACAUUAUAAAUGCUAUUGGACAAUGACUUCUUACUCUACCAGUAGUGACAGUGAAUCUAUAUAUUUUACAGAACUACUGUAGGCAAAAGAACAAAAUACUAAAGUUAUUAAAACUAUUUCAUUUAUAACUAAUAAAUCUCAAGUGGCAUCAAACCUCGAUCAAUACAAGCCAAGUCUACUACAAGGUUCACACUGAAAAAUUGUUUAGAGUUUGGAACUAAGUUGAAAGUUGUGAAAAAAAAUUAUUUCACAUUUACACAAGCUCUGUUAUUGAAAUAACCACAUUAAAUUAAAAAUGCAACGUUUAAGAGAACUAAAAUCCAUGAUCAAGAAUAGCUAGACAGUAACAAUGCAUUUCCAUUAUUCAGACUUAAGGUGCUUUCAAAAUUAAAAUUCUUGAAAAGGAAACUGAAACCUUAUCUGUUUUAUGCAGUUUCUAGCAUGUAGUACAACAGCUACAUGAUGAAAAUAGUCAUUACAACUCCAACAGAAGACAUAGCAGUUACAAUCUGAGAUACUACUUUUAUGAUCAAAUCUGUUUUCUCAAGUUUGAGAUUCUCCCUAUUGAAGUGGUGUUGCAUUUCUCUGUACUGAAGAAUGUAGCUUUCUGAAAUGAAAAAGUUGAUUUACAGUGGAGUUUUUCUUGGCAGAAAACUACUUCUAGCCUAAGCAUAUUCUGCAUAUUCAUAAGCAAAUUUUGAAUUCUAGGUUUAAAAGUAAAAAUGGGCACACAAGGUUUAAUUAUAUGUAGUAGAAAACAACAGUAUUAAAAGUAGGCCACAACACUUUCGGAACACAUUCGGUCAUUACAUAAUUGUGGCUCAGAAAAAAAAAUUCAAGCUUCUUUCACACCUCAACAGCUUCAGCAACUGAACAUGAAACACUAUGUAUAGAAGUAGCAUUGCUCCUGGUUUCAAUACCUGGAGCAAUUCAGCACACCUCUCUAAACAAAUUUGUUAACUUUUGGCAGUCAGUAUCCUGUCAUUACAGAUUUUCCAUUAAUUUGGGCCACUUUGAAAAGUAAGUUCCUAGGUGGGGUUUGCAAAAAAGUAUUAAGGCACAACACAUACAUGGCCUUUUGGGGGUUUUUUUUUUGCUUGUGUCUGGCAGCUCCAAAGUGAUUAUUGCUAAAGAAUUUAAUCAUACAUAGAUAAAAUGAGCUCUGAUACUCUUUCCUUCCAAAUCUUCUGACAGUAAGUUUAGGGUGUUAGAAAAACAACUAUGUGAAACUACACUAAUACACAGGGGCAUAAGUU